GAUGAACGCUGGCGGCGUGCCUAAUACAUGCAAGUCGAGCGAACGGACGAGAAGCUUGCUUCUCUGAUGUUAGCGGCGGACGGGUGAGUAACACGUGGAUAACCUACCUAUAAGACUGGGAUAACUUCGGGAAACCGGAGCUAAUACCGGAUAAUAUUUUGAACCGCAUGGUUCAAAAGUGAAAGACGGUCUUGCUGUCACUUAUAGAUGGAUCCGCGCUGCAUUAGCUAGUUGGUAAGGUAACGGCUUACCAAGGCAACGAUGCAUAGCCGACCUGAGAGGGUGAUCGGCCACACUGGAACUGAGACACGGUCCAGACUCCUACGGGAGGCAGCAGUAGGGAAUCUUCCGCAAUGGGCGAAAGCCUGACGGAGCAACGCCGCGUGAGUGAUGAAGGUCUUCGGAUCGUAAAACUCUGUUAUUAGGGAAGAACAUAUGUGUAAGUAACUGUGCACAUCUUGACGGUACCUAAUCAGAAAGCCACGGCUAACUACGUGCCAGCAGCCGCGGUAAUACGUAGGUGGCAAGCGUUAUCCGGAAUUAUUGGGCGUAAAGCGCGCGUAGCGGUUUUUUAGUCUGAUGUGAAAGCCCACGGCUCAUCCGUGGAGGGUCAUUGGAAACUGGAAAACUUGAGUGCAGAAGAGGAAAGUGGAAUUCCAUGUGUAGCGGUGAAAUGCGCAGAGAUAUGGAGGAACACCAGUGGCGAAGGCGACUUUCUGGUCUGUAACUGACGCUGAUGUGCGAAAGCGUGGGGAUCAAACAGGAUUAGAUACCCUGGUAGUCCACGCCGUAAACGAUGAGUGCUAAGUGUUAGGGGGUUUCCGCCCCUUAGUGCUGCAGCUAACGCAUUAAGCACUCCGCCUGGGGAGUACGACCGCAAGGUUGAAACUCAAAGGAAUUGACGGGGACCCGCACAAGCGGUGGAGCAUGUGGUUUAAUUCGAAGCAACGCGAAGAACCUUACCAAAUCUUGACAUCCUUUGACAACUCUAGAGAUAGAGCCUUCCCCUUCGGGGGACAAAGUGACAGGUGGUGCAUGGUUGUCGUCAGCUCGUGUCGUGAGAUGUUGGGUUAAGUCCCGCAACGAGCGCAACCCUUAAGCUUAGUUGCCAUCAUUAAGUUGGGCACUCUAAGUUGACUGCCGGUGACAAACCGGAGGAAGGUGGGGAUGACGUCAAAUCAUCAUGCCCCUUAUGAUUUGGGCUACACACGUGCUACAAUGGACAAUACAAAGGGCAGCGAAACCGCGAGGUCAAGCAAAUCCCAUAAAGUUGUUCUCAGUUCGGAUUGUAGUCUGCAACUCGACUACAUGAAGCUGGAAUCGCUAGUAAUCGUAGAUCAGCAUGCUACGGUGAAUACGUUCCCGGGUCU
rnacentral:rRNA from 1 species